rnacentral:rRNA from 1 species
UACAGAGGUCCCAAGCGUUGUUCGGAUUCAUUGGGCGUAAAGGGUGCGUAGGUGGCGCCAUAAGUCAGGUGUGAAAUUUCGGAGCUUAACUCCGAAACUGCAUUUGAUACUGUGGUGCUUGAGGACUGGAGAGGAGACUGGAAUUUACGGUGUAGCAGUGAAAUGCGUAGAGAUCGUAAGGAAGACCAGUGGCGAAGGCGGGUCACUGGCCCGGUACUGACGCUGAGGCACGAAAGCGUGGGGAGCAAACAGG